ensembl:lncRNA
UCUUUUCUCUGGCGGAAGCAUCGCGGGAAAGUGUCGAUCACGCGGAGGAAUCUGCAGCGCGUGCGCGGCUCCGUGAGGGCGCGGGGGGGGGCGCUCCGGGCAGGGCCGGUGUUUAGAGCGGCGAACGCUCGUGAAGCCAUGGGAAAAGGUGUUUAAUUGCUCACAUUCCCUGCCAGUGCAUCUGAGAAAGUCUAUCUGAAUUAUUUCCUCUGGCAAGCAGCAAGAGCGUGUGAGUGAAACGUGCCUGGAUGCUGUAUCUUAAGACAGAACUAUGCUGGAAAUGUUCCUGCAGCUGUUCCUUGGGAAACAUCUGUGGUGCUGGGCGUGGAAAUUCGUGCAUCUCCAUUCACCCUUCACGGAGCACUUUGUCUUGUGAAACAGAGGUUCCCUGUGCCGCAGUGGGAACGGAGCUGGGGCUGCUGUUGGAGUGCUGCCUGCACAAGGUAAACUGGAACAUGUGUUCCACUCUGUGCUUUCCUACAGCACCUGGAGGAGGAACAAUAUCCACACUCCAGAUCUGUGAUGGCAAGACACACUUCGGAAUGCGGGGAAGAAAAGAAGGGAGCAACCACUGA